CGACCCUCUGACUACCACUACCUCUGACUACCACUACCCUUUACCACGACCCUCUCAUUACCACUACUUGCUGACUACCACUACUUGCUGACUACCACGACCCUCUGACUACCACUACCUCUGUACUAGUUUAACCCGUUAGUCAGAGUGCUGUACUAGUUUAACCCGUUAGUCAGAGUGCUGUACUAGUUUAACUAGUUUAAGUGAUAUCACCCGUUAGUCAGAGUGAUCUACCCGUUAGUCAGAGUGCUGUACUAGUUUAACUAGUUUAAGUGAUAUCACCCGUUAGUGAGAGUGCUGUGCUAGUUUUACUAGUUUAAAUGAUAUCACUGGUUAGUCAGAGUGCUGUACUAGUUAAACUAGUAUCACCCGUUAGUCAGAGUGCUGUACUAGUUUAACCCGUUAUUAGUAGUGCUGUACUAGUUUAACCCAUUAGUCAGAGUGCUGUACUAGUUUAACUAGUUUAAUCUUGCUGUACUAGUUUAACCCGUUAGUCAGAGUGCUG
ensembl:lncRNA